GACGAACGCUGGCGGCGUGCUUAACACAUGCAAGUCGAACGGAAAGGCCCUGCUUUUGUGGGGUGCUCGAGUGGCGAACGGGUGAGUAACACGUGAGUAACCUGCCCUUGACUUUGGGAUAACUUCAGGAAACUGGGGCUAAUACCGGAUAGGAGCUCCUGCUGCAUGGUGGGGGUUGGAAAGUUUCGGCGGUUGGGGAUGGACUCGCGGCUUAUCAGCUUGUUGGUGGGGUAGUGGCUUACCAAGGCUUUGACGGGUAGCCGGCCUGGGAGGGUGACCGGCCACAUGGGGCCUGAGGUACGGCCCAGACGCCUACGGGAGGCAGCAGUGGGAAAUAUUGCACAAUGGUCGGAAGCCUGAUGCAGCAACGCCGCGUGCGUGAUGACGGCCUUCGGGUUGUAAACCGCUUUCGCCUGUGACGAAGCGUGAGUGGCGGUAAUGGGUAAAGAAGCACCGGCUAACUACGUG
rnacentral:rRNA from 1 species